GAGUUUGAUCCUGGCUCAGGAUGAACGCUGGCGGCGUGCCUAAUACAUGCAAGUCGAACGCGCAGCGAGAGGUGCUUGCACCUUUCAAGCGAGUGGCGAACGGGUGAGUAACACGUGGAUAACCUGCCUCAAGGCUGGGGAUAACAUUUGGAAACAGAUGCUAAUACCGAAUAAAACUUAGUAUCGCAUGAUAUCAAGUUAAAAGGCGCUACGGCGUCACCUAGAGAUGGAUCCGCGGUGCAUUAGUUAGUUGGUGGGGUAAAGGCUUACCAAGACAAUGAUGCAUAGCCGAGUUGAGAGACUGAUCGGCCACAUUGGGACUGAGACACGGCCCAAACUCCUACGGGAGGCUGCAGUAGGGAAUCUUCCACAAUGGGCGCAAGCCUGAUGGAGCAACGCCGCGUGUGUGAUGAAGGCUUUCGGGUCGUAAAGCACUGUUGUAUGGGAAGAAAUGCUAAAAUAGGGAAUGAUUUUAGUUUGACGGUACCAUACCAGAAAGGGACGGCUAAAUACGUGCCAGCAGCCGCGGUAAUACGUAUGUCCCGAGCGUUAUCCGGAUUUAUUGGGCGUAAAGCGAGCGCAGACGGUUGAUUAAGUCUGAUGUGAAAGCCCGGAGCUCAACUCCGGAAUGGCAUUGGAAACUGGUUAACUUGAGUGUUGUAGAGGUAAGUGGAACUCCAUGUGUAGCGGUGGAAUGCGUAGAUAUAUGGAAGAACACCAGUGGCGAAGGCGGCUUACUGGACAACAACUGACGUUGAGGCUCGAAAGUGUGGGUAGCAAACAGGAUUAGAUGCCCUGGUAGUCCACACCGUAAACGAUGAAUACUAGGUGUUAGGAGGUUUCCGCCUCUUAGUGCCGAAGCUAACGCAUUAAGUAUUCCGCCUGGGGAGUACGACCGCAAGGUUGAAACUCAAAGGAAUUGACGGGGACCCGCACAAGCGGUGGAGCAUGUGGUUUAAUUCGAAGCAACGCGAAGAACCUUACCAGGUCUUGACAUCCUUUGAAGCUUUUAGAGAUAGAAGUGUUCUCUUCGGAGACAAAGUGACAGGUGGUGCAUGGUCGUCGUCAGCUCGUGUCGUGAGAUGUUGGGUUAAGUCCCGCAACGAGCGCAACCCUUAUUGUUAGUUGCCAGCAUUCAGUUGGGCACUCUAGCGAGACUGCCGGUGACAAACCGGAGGAAGGCGGGGACGACGUCAGAUCAUCAUGCCCCUUAUGACCUGGGCUACACACGUGCUACAAUGGCGUAUACAACGAGUUGCCAACCUGCGAAGGUGAGCUAAUCUCUUAAAGUACGUCUCAGUUCGGACUGCAGUCUGCAACUCGACUGCACGAAGUCGGAAUCGCUAGUAAUCGCGGAUCAGCACGCCGCGGUGAAUACGUUCCCGGGUCUUGUACACACCGCCCGUCACACCAUGGGAGUUUGUAAUGCCCAAAGCCGGUGGCCUAACCUUCGGGAGGGAGCCGUCUAAGGCAGGACAGAUGACUGGGGUGAAGUCGUAACAAGGUAGCCGUAGAGUUUGAUCCUGGCUCAGGAUAAGUCGUAACAAGGUAACCACUAGAGUUUGAUCCUGGCUCAGUAAGUCGUAACAAGGUAACC
rnacentral:rRNA from 1 species